AUGAACGCUGGCGGCGCGCUUUAUGCAUGCAAGUCGAGCGGUCUUUUUCGCAAGGGAAAGACAGUGGCGAACGGGUGAGUAACUCGUAAGUAACCUGUCCUUAAGUGGGGGAUAGCCCCGGGAAACUGGGGUUAAUACCGCAUGUAGUCCUUCACCGCAGGGUGAAGGACUAAAGCCGUAAGGCGCUUGAGGAGGGGCUUGCGUCCGAUUAGCUAGUUGGUAGGGUAACGGCCUACCAAGGCUGUGAUCGGUAGCUGGUCUGAGAGGAUGGUCAGCCACACUGGGACUGAGACACGGCCCAGACUCCUACGGGAGGCAGCAGCAAGGAAUUUUGUGCAAUGGGCGAAAGCCUGACACAGCGACGCCGCGUGAGGGAUGAAGGCCUUCGGGUUGUAAACCUCUUUUCUCAGGGACGAAUAAUGACGGUACCUGAGGAAUAAGUCUCGGCUAACUACGU
rnacentral:rRNA from 1 species